rnacentral:rRNA from 1 species
CAGCCGCCGCGGUAAUACGAAGGGUGCAAGCGUUACUCGGAAUUACUGGGCGUAAAGCGUGCGUGGGUGGUGGUUUAAGUCCGUUGUGAAAGCCCUGGGCUCAACCUGGGAAUUGCAGUGGAUACUGGGUCACUAGAGUGUGGUAGAGGAUAGUGGAAUUUCCGGUGUAGCAGUGAAAUGCGUAGAGAUCGGAAGGAACAUCUGUGGCGAAGGCGACUAUCUGGGCCAACACUGACACUGAGGCACGAAAGCGUGGGGAGCAAACAGGAUUAGAUACCCCAGUAGUCCCUGUCUCUUAUAC